GAGAGCUGGCUGUGGAAUUUUUAACCAGAUUGUUUAAUGGAAUCUUGGAAAGCGAGAGGAUGCCUGAGGAGUGGAGAAGAAGUGUACUGGUGCUGAUAUUUAAGAAUAAGGGGGAUGUGCAGGACUGCAGUAACUACAAGGAGAUAAAAUUGAUGAGCCACAGCAUGAAGUUAUGGGAAAGUGUAGUGGAAGCUCAGUUAAGAAGUGAGGUGAUGAUUAGUGAGCAGCAGUGUGGUUUCAUGCCAAGAAAGAGCAUCACAGAUGAAAUGUUUGCUCUGAGGAUGUUGAUGGAGAAGUAGAGAGAAGGCCAGAAGGAGUUGCAUUGUGUCUUUGUGGACCUGAAGAAAGCAUAUGACAGGGUAAGGACAGAGGAGCUGUGGUAUUGUAUGAGGAAGUCGGGAGUGGCAGAGAAGUAUGUAAGAGUUGUACAGGAUAUGUACAAGGGAAGUGUGACAGUGGUGAGGUCUGCGGUAGGAGUGACGGAGGUGGGAUUACAUCAGGGAUCGGCUCUGAGCCCUUUCUUAUUUGCAAUGGUGAUGGACAGGUUGACAGAUGAUAUUAGACAGGAGUCCCCGUGGACUGUGAUGUUUGCUGAUGACAUUGUGAUCUGUAGUGAGAGUAGGGAGCAGGUUGAGGAGACCCUGGAGAGGUGGAGAUCUGCUCUAGAGAGGAGAGGAAUGAAGGUCAGUAGGACCACCAAGACAGAAUACAUGUGUGUGAAUGAGAGGGAGGUCAGUGGAAUGGUGAGGAUGCAGGGAGUAGAGUUGGUGAAGGUGGAGAAGUUUAAAUACUUGGGAUCAACAGUACAGAGUAAUGGGGAUUGUGGAAGAGAAGUGAAGAAGAGAGUGCAAGCAGGGUGGAAUGGGUGGAGAAGAAUGUCAGGAGUGAUUUGUGACAGAUGGGUAUUAGCAAGAGUGAAAGGGAAGGUCUGCAGGAUGGUAUUGAGACCAGCUAUGUUAUAUGGGUUGGAGACGGUGGUAUGGGAGACAAAGCUGGAGGUGGCAGGGUUAAUGAUGUUAUGAUUUG